rnacentral:ncRNA from 2 species
UUUAUAUUUUAAAUUUUAGGUACCAUUAUCGGUUUAAUAGGGAAAGUGAAAAUCACUGCAGCCCCCGCUACUGUACACGGUGACGAAUCCAAAUCCACUGGAGAAAUUCCGGGAAGGAUGGAAGAGUAUGAUCCGCAAGCCAGGAGACCUGCCUGAAUGUUUAUGGAGCU